CAAACGAUUUAAGAAGGCACACACAGACUGAUAUUCAUUUUCAUCUCAUCAUGGCGAUCUGGAAUGACGCAAACGAAGACCUGCUGAUCACCUUGAUCCAGGAGAGGCCAGCUCUGUACGUCAUCACGGAGAAAAGGUACUCUAACCGAGUAGUGAAAACCGGACUCUGGCGAGAGAUUGAAACGCAACUUGGUUUCUCGGAGAAAGAGCUGAGGAAGAAGUGGGAUUCUCUGCGAACCCAGUACACCCGGUAAAGGAGACUUGCCCCUUCGGGUAGCUGUGGAGCACAAACGACUGGCAGACAGCAGUGGAUCCUGACCAGGUUGCAGUUUUUAGAGCCCUACACCAGAAGGAAGGAGAGUACUUCAAACCUCACCGUCACGGAACGUCCGGUGGCUGCAGAAUCCAUCCCCGGGGGCACCAGAAGUGAAACCUCGAUCAGCACCACAGAGGAGUCCUUCCCGUUUGAUGCUGAGCCCUGCACUCCCCUGGCAGAAUCCACCAUCUGCACCACACCGGCACCGCGGCUCGGAGAGAAGCCAAGCACUCGAAGGCCUCCGGCGAAGCGCAGGAUGAUGCAGGAUUCGCAGAAGGAGUCCGCCGUUGAGGCGUCGUCAAAAGCAUUGCUGGAGGAGAUAAAAAUAAGACUGGCACAGUUGGCCCCAGUUGAUGAUGAAAUCGCGGUCCAAGCCAAACUGUUUGAGCACAGACUGCGGCUGUUGCCACCUCAUCAGAUGCGAGGCUUCCUGAAUUUGGUUCAAAAUGGCUUCUAUGAUUGCUUGCUAGAGCAGUGGUCUCCAAACUAAGGCCCGCGGGCCGGGUACGGCCCGCCUCCACAUUUGGCCCGGCCCCCUGAACAAUAGCAGAGAGGCAUUAUGAUUUAUUUUUUUUUA